AGAUAAUUUUACCGCCAAUCAGAGUGAUCUCUCUGACAGGUUCCGCUGCCAAUUCAACCUGCUCAAUAGGUUGGGAAAAAUGCCGACAGGGGUCUGACUAGUGCCAACCGUCAGAUUGGUAACCCUGGGGCUUAAAACUGUUGUUCUGGCACUUCUUUAGUGUCUCCGAAAGAAAGAACGAAAGAGUCUUUUGUUUUAACACCUAGUGCCGACUGCUACCAAACUCUCUGUCAUAUGCCAGACACGUGGGGAGCAACAAUUUCCUGUUGUUGAUCCAUUUCCAGUGUAGCUUACACAGAAGUUUAGGUGCGAGUGUGAAGUGAGCGAAGAUUGUACCUAGGCCCAUUCAGAUGGUCUAUCAACUGAUGGAUGUUAUAUAUUUUAAAGUGUAUUCAAGAGAAGUGGAUGGAUUAGCUUUGACCACUUUCAGGUUAGACCAUGAACAUGCUAUAGUGGGGUGACUGUGUGGCCGUCUAGCUAUAGGCUACCACAGAAGAAGAAACCCUAUACAGAAAGAGUGCUCUGACACAUGGAGAUUUGGUGGAUUAUACGAACCCUACCUUUCUUGGCUUUGUUGUCUCCCUCCUCGAGUUUCUCAUCAGAACGGCAAAAUGAUUCAGAGGUCCCUGAGCUCUUAGCCCUACGAAUUAAACAUUUUGAGGAGGGCCAAGAUGCGUACUUAAGGUGCAGCAAUAAGACGUGGAAUAAUACUCUUCAUCAUAUCUGGAAAAUAAACAACAGUGGAGUCCAUUGUCUUAUAAGUGAAGCUGCUAACAAGCCCAGGCAUAACAACUGCACAGGAGGGAUGACACUCCGCAACACAACGAAAGGGGAGUUGUACCUGUAUAUUCCUCACUUCGGAAUCAAAGAUGAAGGGACAUACAAAUGUGAAGAGGUGUACAGAGGUGGUGCUGACGUAGCCAUCAUUACAGUUUUUGCUAGAGUCCCCCCUGUCCUCUCCACCAGACUAGAGCAUGACGGCGGUCAGCGGUUUGCUGUCUGUUCUGCUGCCCGUGGAAAACCAGAGGCCACAGUGUCCUGGGAGGAGGAGUGGUGGUCCCCUAAGGUCACUGAGAGGUCAACCAACAACACAGAUGGAACCGUCACCAUGGAGAGCUGGCUGCUCCUGCCUGAUGACAUCACCCAGGGCAACCUGACCUGUGUGGCCAGUCACGCCUCCUGGACCCAUAAGCAUUCUGUUGUCAUGGAGAUGACUGAUGGUUCAUUCACAUUGUUCAUCACUCUGUCAUCUAUCAUUGUACUAAGUGUGGUAAUUGUAACUGCUGUCAGCACAUACGUGUGCCUUAAAAUAAACGAAACGCAAUAAAACAAAUUAUUGGAUUUUCAUAGCAGAGGAGGGUGCCAGAUUUGUGUUGAGCAGAAUGUUAGCUAGGGACUUUACUGCGGGCAAGAAACAAGACACCCUCAUCAAAGGGCUCCUACAGAAAGAAAUCCACACAUCCCUCUCAAUGAUCAAUGAGCUUGCAAUAUAAAGAGAGCUGUUUUACUAUCUUUAGAAGUGUGCUUCAAGUGGCAAAAGAGAGCUAAGAGAUAUAUUUGCUGUUUAUUGAUUCAAAUAACUCCAUUAAACUCUGUUCACAUCAAGUCAUUCAUUAGAUUUUGUGUGGACACACAUACUGGUAUUAUAUUUCUGUAUCCAAAACAAACAAAACAAACACACAUAAACAAACUUCAAUAUAAUGACAGACAAAAUGCACAUAUCAAAACAUUAAAAAGGUGAACAUUUGGAUGUAAAUAAAUUAAACAGAAAAAAUGCAAAAUGUUCAUACAUACAUUCAUAUCUCAGUUUAAAAAUGAAAAAAAGGUGCGACAAAUGCUCUGAUGCUUCUUUAUACACAAAAUAGUCUUGCAGUAAAUAUGCAUGUGUAGAUGUGUAGAUAUCUGCAUCGCUGUGUGCUUACCCUAAAUGUUUGUUUUCUUGUGUAUAUUCCAUAGUCCACAUGCAUACACCUCAGUAAAGCUCUGUGUGUGUGUGUUUAUGUGUGUGUGUGUGAUGGAGAGAGAAAGUACCGACCAAAACCAAACCUUUCCUUAUACAAUAAGCAAUUCUAUUGGUCUAAUAUACCAACAUACACCCGCCACAUAUCUCGAUGUUUGUCAGUAGUGAAGUGUGCAACCUGGUUAAGCCCUUCACCUAUGAAGCUUCGUGUCCCUAUCGGGCCUCCGUAAGCUCAACCCAUUAGCACAUAGUCGUCAGAGCAGUCCUCUUUGAUUGACAGCUUGUCCUCGGAGGGGAUGUUGACGACAGCAUAGUCACAGUCAUCUCCCUCCACGAUCCUCAUCACAUUUCCUGCUUUCUUGCCAUUGCCAUGGUCAAUUGUUGCAUAGAGGACUUCCUCCUUUGGCUGUGUCCCUGGCUGCCGUGAGAAGAAAAAAAACAACAACGACAAAAUAAACACAGUGGUGAUGAUAUGUACUUGUGAUACUGAGUGCACUGUGCCACUGCUAUUUGAGUGUAAUAGAUACAGUUGAUAUGGAAAUUAAACAUCAGAUGUCAACAGAAGGUCAAAAGUCCCAUGCUGGAUCAGUAUCCGUAUACAGCUCUGCAAUAUUGACAUCAUGCAAAUGUGUUUAUUCGUAGUCAAGCAGUUAUGAAAAUCAGCUGAAAAUAACCACUGGUUAACCAGCACAGACAGACACAGGAGCUUUUAUGAGUCUCAUAUAGCAGCGAUAUGUUUAGUCGACAGUGGGGCUUUCAGUAGAGCAGCCUGCAACACUGAUUAGAAUCGCCUCUUACCACAAGACCAAAACUCUCUAUCUUUAUCUCCCCGUAGAUCUGAACCUGCAACGUGUCAUUUUUUCCGACAUGUUUUUCUACAUUUUUGACAUUUGAGUCAUAUGAGACCUUUGAAUAAAAGAUUACAAAACCUUUCUCAAUACAUUUAAAUAUCAGUGUUAGUCAAAUCAGUCUCUAACACCAAUUCAACCUCAACCUGUGUAGAAGGUCAUGAUUAUGAGCUUGCCAAGAGGACAUCGACUCUCUGAUCACCAGAAACAACUGUACCAAUCACUUUGCACUAAGUUUAGUAAUGUGUAUGAAUCUAUGAGUUUAUGUUACAUGUUAAGUUAUGCCUUUAUGAUGCAGCUUGAACAGAAUGGCUGUUGCCUUGGCAUCCACCGAACAUCGCUAUGUGUGAGUUGUGAAAUCACCACCAAUGUUGCCAAAGCAACGUUAACUAACUUUGUGUGUAGAAAGUUCUUGAGAAAUAUGCUUCUCUUUGUCUUAUACUGUAUAUUGCCAACAUUAUCAUGACAGCCUCUACCCAAGAUCUGUCACAACAGAGCCAGAAUAGCAGAGAAAUCUGUGGUAGGGCUGAUUUAGCAUUCAUAUGCUAUCGGUGGCAGCUGGCUUUCUGGCCCAGUCAGAUAACGUGGACAGUUGGCUCCUCUUGGAUGCCUGUGUCAGCCUCAGCUUCAUCAACUACCUCUCAAAAACUGCACUUGGACCUUGUUAAUUCUCAGUUGAUCAACCGUUAUCCGGGACUGGCUUUGAUAUCAAGAUACAUUCAACAGAAACAGUUUAAUACUGAUGUUCAGCAAAAACCUGCAGAGGCGUUCAAAGAAAUGACUAGCACUACAACCAUCAUACCAAUACUGAGCUAAAACAACAACAAAGACACCUUCAUGAAAAUGUCAUUGGGGUUGUGAAGUGGGCACAUUCCUUCGUCAAUGUUUUGUUGAAUUAGGCCCAAGUUACCUCCAGAAGGCUCAACAGCGGUGUCACCACCCCGACCCCCCCACCCAUGAUGGGUAAGGAGACUUACAAAUACUAGAAAAUAAAUAUGAUUUGAUACAUAAUAAUACUAAAUAAUUUAUAUUGAUAGCGAAAUGUGAAACUGUGACUUUCAUCAAGCAUGUAUGUGUGUUCAUCAUAUGCCUUUGUGUGCUGAAACAUGACGUUUCUGUCUCUGUAUGUCUUUGAUUCUUAAGUGUUGACGUUUCUAUCUCUGUAUGUGUGCUUAAAAGUGCACCUUCUGUGUGUGCGUAAGCGAGGGCUGAUAAGAAGAACUAGUAGUCCUUCUUUUUUGCCUUGCUGAUGCAUUACGUGAUGCAAAAAGCAUAGCAAGAUGACCUCGGACAUGGGAAACCCACCAUGUGGUUAUCUCUGCAGACAUAGAGGUUUGGCGUCAGAGAACGCUUACUUCAACCUGCGUAAACCUUGUGUGAAACUUUGCUUCUCUCUCGUCGACUACAGUCUGGGAGGGAGCCCAGGCUCUCUCUCCGGUCCUCUAGGAUGUGGGUGAGCCAGUGCUUCUCUCUUGUAUGCCAAGACAUGAGUGAGCCCGAUAUGCAUAUUGAAUAAAAUAUACUUAUACACAACUAGGGAACAGGUACACCUCAAGAUACACCUAGAAAUGAUUCCACAUGCAUAUCUCAGUGUCUGAGCAAUGCACUGCCUAAUUAUCUAAACUUCAAUUGCUUUAUACUAUGGCAUACCACAGGGUAAGAGAAUGUACUCACCGUGUCCUUGCCCGUGUUGUCUGCAUUUGUGUUGUCUAGGGGGGUGGAAAGAAAGAAGAAAUCUAAGCAUGUAUGUGUGUAUGUGUGUAUGUGUGUUUGUGUGUUUGUGUGUGUGCGUGCGUGCGUGCGUCUGUGUGUGUGUGUGUGUGUAUGUUUGUAUUCAAACAUCUUUUAUUGAGUAUUUCAUCACACACAAUCCAUUAUGCAUUAUACACAAACCCCACAUGAACCCCUGCUCGGUCAAGUAGUGAAUUAAAUCUUACCAUCAGAUUCAUUCUUGGCUUCUGAUGUCUUUUUUCUUUACAAGAAAAGAGACAAACAAAGGUCAGAUGGGUCCUUAAUUUUUGUCGAGGGACAGUCUUGUUGUGUAACUCUGGUUUAAUCUGUUUGACUUUUUUGGGGGAGAUUACUGGAUUAUUUUGUGAAGCUUGGCCGGCAUGUAUAUAAAAUAGGUCAUAUUCAACUUAGAAAUUAAGAAGAUAUACUGCUAUUUCUUUUUGUCAGCAAACACUCACAGCCAAAAUAUGGUACCACACACAACUUUGUCUAGGAUUUGUCUUGCCAUAAGGAUAAUUCAAAAUAUUGUACUAAUUAUUAUGUUGACUGAAUUGAUGUCACAAGGCACACUUGAAAGUAAUGUCAUACCAUCGCAAGGCAUGCAUCAUCAAGACUGUGCAAGACCACACUCCCUGCAUCUAUGCCCUACAUCUUAUCAGGCCUGCAAACGUUGAUGUGGUUAACUAAAGCUACAGUACACCGCCCAGCAGGAUGUGCACUCCUACCAUACACCUUACAGAGAGGUUGCAUAAAUGUAACAUUUUUCAAAACACUGUAUAAUGAACACUGUUUAAUAUCCUCUUAUUUGCAAGACGAGAGGUGUUUCUUACCGUCCAGCACCACAUAUAAGGUUGCCCAUAAUCCCUGUUGUCGUGGUGUGCCGUUGCCAAGACUUGAAGCGUUUCCACGAGCCAGAGGUCACAGGUCGUGGUGCCGCGGUGACAGCUGGCCCUAGCAACGGUCCUUGUGAGCGGCGAGAGUGGCAGCUUCCCCUCAGUCUGUGAGUCGAUCUCUUCCGAACUUGCUGAUCCAGGGCAGGUCAAUAGCCGCAUUAGAGGGGAACACAGAGAAGAAGGGAGGGUAGGGGAGAGUAGGGUAGCAGGUCCCAGAUGGGAGAGAUUUAGAGAUGGAAGAGUGGAGUCGAGUGGGAGUAAGAGAGAGUCACUGGCACAUGGCAGGGUAGUGACAGAGAGAGAGAGACAGAAAGAGGCAGGGCAAGAGCAAGUGCACAACAAAGGCAAGCUUGUGCUUUGCGCUUAUUUCCUGUGUGUGGUCGUUUGCAUCAG
ensembl:lncRNA